ACGUAGGGUGCGAGCGUUAAUCGGAAUUACUGGGCGUAAAGCGUGCGCAGGCGGAUUGUUAAGCAAGACGUGAAAUCCCCGGGCUUAACCUGGGAAUGGCGUUUUGAACUGGCAGUCUAGAGUGGGUCAGAGGGGGGUGGAAUUCCACGUGUAGCAGUGAAAUGCGUAGAGAUGUGGAGGAACACCGAUGGCGAAGGCGACACCCUGGGCCGUACCUGACGCUAAGACGCGACAGCACGGGGAGCGAACGG
rnacentral:rRNA from 1 species